AUGGAAUUGCAGAAGGAUCAGAGCCAUCCGCUUUUGUCCAACAGAACUGAUGGCACUGACAACAUGAGCCCCGUGCAGAAAGCAAUCAGACAGGCAUACCAGAGCACCGGGCACCUCGCCAAACUCCUUCCAUCAGGCACCGUGCUUGCCUUCCAGCUGCUGGCUCCAACCAUGGCUAAACAAGGCCACUGUGGUGACUUGGAUCGGAUGAUGACGGGAGGGCUUGUGGUGCUCUGUGCACUCUCGUUCUUUGUUGUUACCUUCACAGAUAGCUUCAGGGAUGAGAACGGAAAGGUACGACACGGGUUUGCCACGUUCAAGGGAUUGUGGCCAUUGAUGAUAACAUUUCUAGACUUUUUCCAUGCAACUGUCUCAGCAGUGAUUUUUGUUGCAAUCGCCCUAUUUGACCAGAAUGUGGCAUCUUGCUUUUAUCCAAUACCAUCAGAGGACACAAAGCAAGUUCUCACAACAUUGCCAGUUGCUAUUGGAGUUAUUGGAAGCAUGCUGUUUGUUAGCUUCCCAACCACCCACCAUGGCAUUGGCUUCCCAGUCUCUCCACAGUAG
rnacentral:rRNA from 1 species